CAGUCGCCGCGGGAAUACGUAGGUGGCGAGCGUUGUCCGGAAUCAUUGGGCGUAAAGGGAGCGCAGGCGGGCGUGUAAGUCUUUCUUAAAAGUUCGGGGCUCAACCCCGUGAUGGGAAAGAAACUACAUGUCUUGAGUACAGGAGAGGAAAGCGGAAUUCCCAGUGUAGCGGUGAAAUGCGUAGAUAUUGGGAGGAACACCAGUGGCGAAGGCGGCUUUCUGGACUGCAACUGACGCUGAGGCUCGAAAGCCAGGGGAGCGAACGGGAUUAGAUACCCGCGUAGUCCCUGUCUCUUAUACA
rnacentral:rRNA from 1 species